rnacentral:lncRNA from 10 species
AUCACAUCAGCACUCAAAGCGUUUUGAAUUUUGGAGCAUUUUGGAUUUCGGAUUUUCUCACUAGGCAUGCUCAGCCUGUAUCAGAAGAGGCUCAGCCAAAGCCACUUCCCUGCCUUAAACUGAGCUCCAUGGCCAUUCUCAGCUAUGAGGGCUUGAUAAAGAUUAAGUUUUAUUUAUCUUUGCAGCCCCUACAGCAAGUAAAGAUGAGCAAAAAGAGGUUAAACUCAGAACUAAAAUGUCUAGAGCCACCUCCAUCUACCCCACUGCAAUGAAAACACAAGGACAUAAGCAUUUACUGCAGUAUUGUUCCCAGUGGCAAAAAGCUGGAACUCAAAUAAACGCCUAAUGACAGAGGAAUGAUGAAAGAAAUUCUGGCUCAUACACACCACAACCUAUUACACAGCCACUGAAAAGAAUGAAUUAGAGCCACAUUGAUGACUCUGGGAGAUUUCCAUGAGCAAUUACAGAGUAAAUGAAACCAAAUGCAGAAAAAAAAAGUCUGUUUUAUUAUCCCAUUUCUAACAAAAAUGAAGAAAAGCACUCUCUAACAUCUGUGCACAUACAUGCAGGUAAGCGCGAGUGAGCUGAAAAUUAUAGGCCACAUACUGUUAUCAUGAGUUACCUGUGCAGAAGGCAGAGAGAAAGUUUGGGAAAGGAAAGAGAAGAAGAAGAGCAAAGAACAAAAAGAAAAUUUUUGAAAAGAAAUGUUAUAAUAUGAUCCAUUAAUGUAUUAACUUAAAGAUAUAUGUGUGUUCAUAUGCACGAAGAGAAAACUUUAUAUGUUGUCUCUUCUUUUCUGUCUCUUAAAUCAGGCUUGCAAGACUUUGGCAAUUUCCCACUUGUUUUGAAUCCUCAGAAAAUAUCGUAUCUCCAGAAAGUAAACAAAAAUUGACCAGAUAGCAUUCCCUUAAUGCAGUUCCAGUGACUGUUCUGGAUAAGAAAACAACACUUCUACAUUCAAACCCCCAAUUGCCAUUUGAAUCUCAUCAAAUGAAAUUUUAGUUUUUCUUUCUAGCUUAUGUUUUUCCCUGGAGAAACAAGUCUAUAAAUGUUUAAAACUGGCACUACUUCUCAUAGUGAAUAAAAUAUUGUUGUGUAGAAAACUGGCUCCAGGAAAUUAAAAAUCAAUAUACUUUGAGAACUAAAAUAGGAUGGAAAAGUUGCUUUGUCCAGAUUGCAAUGGCCAGGCAAUGCAAAACAAAAGAAUUGCUAUUAUAAAAUGAGAAUUACAAGAGAGCAUUUUUCAGCUUUGUAUGAGAAAUGCAAUUGACCGAGUGAAAAAAAUUAACCCUGUUUGUGUUUCAUUCAAGUGGCCAUCUCUGCAACUUACUGCUAAUUUGCCUUCUUUGAAUUUACCAUUCCUGGUGGCAAAAUCAUUUGCUCAGAAUUGUUCUAGUAUUGCCCAGUCAUACUUUUCUAAUUAAGAUUCCUUGCUGAAUGUUCUAACUUUGACCUCAUUUCAAAGUUACUUUCAUUUUAAAGCUUGACUCAAGAUCUUCAAUUCUUAUAUCUUAAAAAUCUUAAAUGUUUUCUGUUUCUGUUAUUAACUAUACUAGGUUAGGGAUAUUUAAAAUAACAGCUGAUAAUAUGGUUUUUAAAAAUUGUGAGAAUGAUUGCUAAUGUCUGGCUCUCACUUUAUUAAGAGGACAUGGGAGCCUUUGAAAGAUGGCUUGCCUGUCUACCUAGGGCUGACCCCCAGGUCCAGAUUUGAGAGUCUGGGCUGGCUGACUGCUGGGUGGCUUUGGUAGAAGCUGGCUUGUCUUCUGGUUCCAUUUUUCUCUCCACCCCAGUAUCUUGGGUUACUCUGGAAAACUAUGCGAUGCCCAUGUGCGCACCCAGUUAAAGGGCAUUCGAGUCUUUGCCCGUAGAAAUUUCAUAAAUAGAAUAUGUAAUGAGCCAUGCAUGUCUUAUCGCUAAGGAAUCCAGGGGAAUCUGAAACUUGGAUGACAAAGUCUCUUAUGGGUCUUUCCUUCUCACACCACUUGAUACAGCACGACUAUCUUGAAGUCAGCCAGCGGCCUGCAGAGGCGGUCUUUCCAUCUGUUUCAGAAAACCCGGUGGCUUGUGCAACCUGGGAAACUUGCCCACAGCCAUCCCACGUGGUGAGUCAGCUCUCUGGCUCCAUUAUCUACUGUCUCUUCCCAGAUGUGACUCCCUGUUUAGGAGCAAGCAAAGUUAUGGGGACCCAGGGGAGAAGCAGACACUCACCUAAUGCACAAUCCUGCUGAGAAUUUACCCAAACCCAAGGAGGUGGAGAUGGAGUAGAGCUUGAGUCCUUUCCACGACUGUUAACUGAAGAUUUCUGUUGUGACAUCACAUAGAAUUUUGACUAGCAUUCACCAAGGAUGAACUGAAAGCAGGAUCUGUCUCACCAUACACUGAGAACUUAUAAUAUCUGCUUCCAAGAAAUAGCCACUUCAAGGCAUUCACAUGCCCUUGGCAUUCACUCCUCAUCUGCGGAUGCACCUCCUUGGUGUGAGGAACAGCCAGGCCUCCUGCUGCUCCACCUUCCCCCCAAUCCUCCUUCAGCUUCUCUGACUGCUGGGCCAGCUGUGUGUGAUGAAAGACCUGGCUUCUCCAGGACAUGCAGACCAUCAAGGGCAGAGAGAACACAAGAAAGAGUCUGAGUUUCUAUCUGUUCUCCCGGGCUCCAGCUGAUGCAUUUCAGCUCCUUCUUGCUCUCCCCAUUUCAUAUUCAUCUUAUUUUCCAGGUACCCUUUCUGUGGAUACCUUCAAGUUCCAGCACCAAAUAUGAAGGCGACUGCCAUCACCAGCUCCCACCCCUACAUGAGGUCAAAUCCCUGGAUGGCAUAUAACACACUAGAGCAAUUAAGAGGAUCUAACUAAAGGUGGGGAAGGAAAAAUGUGUGUACAGAGACAGGAAGUCAUGGACACAGUUAUAUUGAAAGAUACAAUGACCUCCUCCUCCUCCUCAUUGUGAUAUUAUCACGCCUUUCCACACUUGGGCUUCUGAGAUUGUUACACUGGAAGUCUGCCCUAACUACAGGGUCACAUGUAGAACUGCGUCCACAAAGAGGCAGAUUGAUUGUGGGAUGGUUUCUUUUUUUUUUUUUUUUAAUUUAUUUUUUUAUUGAUAAUUCU